rnacentral:rRNA from 1 species
UACGUAGGGGGCAAGCGUUGUCCGGAAUCAUUGGGCGUAAAGAGCGUGUAGGCGGCUCGAUAAGUCCGCUCUGAAAGCCCGGGGCUCAACCCCGGGAGGCGGGCGGAUACUGUCGAGCUAGAGUCCGGAAGAGGCGAGUGGAAUUCCUGGUGUAGCGGUGAAAUGCGCAGAUAUCAGGAGGAACACCAAUGGCGAAGGCAGCUCGCUGGGACGGUACUGACGCUGUGGCGCGAAAGCUAGGGGAGCAAACGGG